rnacentral:rRNA from 1 species
UACGAAGGGGGCUAGCGUUGUUCGGAAUUACUGGGCGUAAAGGGCGCGCAGGCGGCCCUCCAAGUCAGGCGUGAAAGCCCCGGGCUCAACCCGGGAAUAGCGCUUGAGACUGGGGGGCUUGAGUUCGGGAGAGGAGAGUGGAAUUCCCAGUGUAGAGGUGAAAUUCGUAGAUAUUGGGAAGAACACCGGUGGCGAAGGCGGCUCUCUGGACCGACACUGACGCUGAGGCGCGAAGGCGUGGGGAGCAAACAGG